rnacentral:rRNA from 1 species
UGGUGGAGUGAUUUGUCUGGUUAAUUCCGUUAACGAACGAGACCUCGACCUGCUAAAUAGUUCGGCAAAUUCUCCGGGAUUUGUACGUGACUUCUUAGAGGGACUAUCGGUGGUUAGCCGAUGGAAGUUCGAGGCAAUAACA